rnacentral:tRNA from 1 species
AGGUCUUAUGAUGUUAUCAUUCAAUUUUGAACGUUGAAUUAGGGUUUUUUAACCCAAGGCCUU